AGUGAACGUUGGCGGCGUGCCUAACACAUGCAAGUCGUACGAAACCCAAGGAGCUUGCUUUUUGGGAAAAGUGGCGAACGGGUGAGUAACACGUGAGUAACCUGCCCUCGAGCGGGGAACAACUUCGCGAAAGCGAAGCUAAUACCGCAUAAUACUCCGGAGCAUAAGCUUUCGGAGUCAAAGCUUUCGAGCGCUUGAGGAUGGGCUCGCGGCCUAUUAGCUAGUUGGUAGGGUAACGGCCUACCAAGGUGACGAUGGGUAGCCGGCCUGAGAGGGUGAUCGGCCACACUGGAACUGCGACACGGUCCAGACUCCUACGGGAGGCAGCAGUGGGGAAUUUUGCGCAAUGGGCGAAAGCCUGACGCAGCGACGCCGCGUGGAGGAUGACGGCCUUCGGGUUGUAAACUCCUGUCAGAGGUGAAGAAAUC
rnacentral:rRNA from 1 species